rnacentral:lncRNA from 1 species
CAGAGGUGCUUUUGGAAAUGUAUACGCUUAUGAAAUCGGUUUUCUAGUUCUGCAGAUUCUGAAGAACGACUUCCUUUGCUCAUUUAUAAUUCUCCUUGGAGGUUUCCCAGGUGUCAGCCUUUGGCUGGUUUCUUUUCACCAGAAACUAGGGCUAUGGUUUAGCCUUAACCCGCAAGGAAAAGCCCGGCUUUGUUUCCGGGGAGCCAGGUCCCUUUGAUAGGCUCUUCUUGUUCUGCAGGCGGGCAAAGAGGCUUAUCACACAUCAGAUUGUUUUUCCUUUGAGGUAACCUCAAACCAAAGCGCACUGUUCCCUGAAGAACACAGAGAGUAAGAACACGGUGCGGUGCCUGGGGUGGCUCAGAGGGCCGGGAAGUCAGGAAGCUCGUCUGGAUUUUGCUGACCUGGCCCCAGAAGGGGCUCAAUCGGCAGGCGUCGGGUGAGGCAUGUGGUCUGGCCACAGCAGCGGACUCUGAGGAAGACAUGGAGACCCCGUGGGCUGAGGGAGACUUGGAGAGCUCCAAAGCGCAGUCUGGAGGGGAGCCUGAGACGCUGCGUGUGUAACACGCCCCCAGGGGAGGCUGCUCCUUGUGGCCGGAGGCCCACGCCGUGAGGGGCAGAACCCUAGGAGAGGACCCCGAAGAAGUUCGGCAGGUGCAGACGUGGGACAGGGUGUUCCUGAGAGCCAGGACCCUCCAGGUGGGCCACUGGGGACUUGGGGGAGGUUGAAUCGUCAGAGAGGCUGAGGCUUCAUUGGAGGGCCUUGAAGUGGCCCUAGGCUUACCUUUUAAUUCUAUUAGGUUUUAGUUCAUUCUGUAAGACUCGGUGUCACAGCCAAUAUUCUGAGAAAUGCAUUGCUGACCCUCCCCUGACAUGGAUCCUUCUGCUUAAGGGUCUUCUUCAUAGAGAUCCUUCCCUACCGUGGAGGUGCGAAGGCUCUCGGAGCAAGCCUGGUGGUGGAUGGCCAGGCCCCGUGGCUGAACUCCUCCAGUCCUGGGCUCCAGCUAGGACUUCUCAGCUCCAUGUCCUGUGUCUGGGACACGGGGCAGCUAGAGCUCAUUGUAUCUUGCAUUUGAAGGAAGGAAUGACCAUUAACACCUCAGCUGUGGCCCAGCAGGACAACAGCAGAGCAGGCACUGCAGUUAGAAUCAGAGGCGCUGGAGGAGCCUGCGGUCAGCUGUCCCCCCGAUGAGCCUCAGCUCAGGCCUCAGCAGGACUUCUACCUCGAGCCGCAGCAGAAGCUGAAGAACCUUCCGAUAGUCCCGCCGCCGCGGCUCUGACCGCGCGCGAGGCGAGCCCGAAGCCGACAGCACAUCGAAAUUU